UGGGGAAUAUUGGACAAUGGGCGCAAGCCUGAUCCAGCAAUGCCGCGUGUGUGAAGAAGGCCUUCGGGUUGUAAAGCACUUUUAUCAGGAGCGAAACGCUGUCGGCUAAUACCCGGCGGAACUGACGGUACCUGAGGAAUAAGCACCGGCUAACUUCGUGCCAGCAGCCGCGGUAAUACGAAGGGUGCAAGCGUUAAUCGGAAUUACUGGGCGUAAAGCGUGCGUAGGCGGUUUCUUAAGUCUGCUGUGAAAUCCCCGGGCUCAACCUGGGAAUGGCAGUGGAUACUGGGAGGCUAGAGUGUGUCAGAGGGUGGUGGAAUUCCCGGUGUAGCGGUGAAAUGCGUAGAGAUCGGGAGGAACAUCAGUGGCGAAGGCGGCCACCUGGGACAACACUGACGCUGAGGCACGAAAGCGUGGGGAGCAAACAGGAUUAGAUACCCUGGUAGUCCACGCCCUAAACGAUGCGAACUGGAUGUUGGUCUCAACUCGGAGAUCAGUGUCGAAGCUAACGCGUUAAGUUCGCCGCCUGGGGAGUACGGUCGCAAGACUGAAACUUAAA
rnacentral:rRNA from 1 species